rnacentral:tRNA from 1 species
CGGGGCGUAGCGCAGUGGUAGCGCGCAUCGUUCGGGACGAUGAGGCCGCAGGUUCAAAUCCUGUCGCCCCGA